AGUAAGAUAAGCUAAGAUAAGCUAGUGGGUUCAUACCCCAACAAUGAGAAAAUCUCUCUUACUA
rnacentral:tRNA from 1 species